rnacentral:rRNA from 1 species
GUCGAACGAAGUAAGUUUUUCGGAAUGUACUUAGUGGCGGACGGGUGAGUAACGCGUGAAUAAUCUGCCCCAUACAGGGGGAUAGCCUCGGGAAACCGGGAUUAAAACCGCAUGAUGCUUUUUUAUCGCAUGGUAGAGAAGUCAAAUCGAAUAAGAGGUAUGGGAUGAGUUCGCGUCUGAUUAGCUGGUUGGCGGGGUAAGAGCCCACCAAGGCGACGAUCAGUAGCCGGCCUGAGAGGGUGACCGGCCACACUGGAACUGAGACACGGUCCAGACUCCUACGGGAGGCAGCAGUGGGGAAUAUUGCACAAUGGAGGGAACUCUGAUGCAGCGACGCCGCGUGAGUGAAGAAGGUCUUCGGAUCGUAAAACUCUGUCCUUGGUGACGAAAAAAAUGACGGUAGCCAAGGAGGAAGCCCCGGCUAACUACGUACCAGCAGCCGCGGUAAUACGUAGGGGGCGAGCGUUGUCCGGAUUUACUGGGCGUAAAGGGUGAGUAGGCGGUUAUAUAUGUCAGGUGUAAAAAGCUAUGGCUUAACCAUAGUAAGCACUUGAAACUGUAUGACUUGAGUGCAGGAGAGGUAAGCGGAAUUCCUAGUGUAGCGGUGAAAUGCGUAGAUAUUAGGAGGAACACCGGUGGCGAAGGCGGCUUACUGGACUGUAACUGACGCUGAGUCACGAAAGCGUGGGUAGCAAACAGGAUUAGAUACCCUGGUAGUCCACGCCGUA